rnacentral:rRNA from 1 species
AACGCUAGCUACAGGCUUAACACAUGCAAGUCGAGGGGAAACGAUAUUGGAAGCUUGCUUCCGAUAGGCGUCGACCGGCGCACGGGUGAGUAACGCGUAUCCAACCUGCCCAUCACUUGGGGAUAACCUUGCGAAAGUAAGACUAAUACCCAAUGAUAUCUCUAGAAGACAUCUGAAAGAGAUUAAAGAUUUAUCGGUGAUGGAUGGGGAUGCGUCUGAUUAGCUUGUUGGCGGGGUAACGGACCACCAAGCCGACGAUGUCUAGGGGUUCUGAGAGGAAGGUCCCCCACACUGGUACUGAGACACGGACCAGACUCCUACGGGAGGCAGCAGUGAGGAAUAUUGGUCAAUGGGCGAGAGCCUGAACCAGCCAAGUCGCGUGAGGGAAGACGGUACUAAGUAUUGUAAACCUCUUUUGUCAGGGAACAAAGAGACCACGUGUGGUAAGAUGAGUGUACCUGAAGAAAAAGCAUCGGCUAACUCCGUGCCAGCAGCCGCGGUAAUACGGAGGAUGCGAGCGUUAUCCGGAUUUAUUGGGUUUAAAGGGUGCGUAGGCGGCAUAUCAAGUCAGCGGUUAAAUGUCGGGGCUCAACCUCGGCCUGCCGUUGAAACUGAUGAGCUAGAGAGGAUGAGAAGUAUGCGGAAUGCGUGGUGUAGCGGUGAAAUGCAUAGAUAUCACGAAGAACUCCGAUUG